UCUCGUAUUUAGGUCGACAUUAAGUAAGCGGGACGACAACACAGACUGCUGCUGCUGGUUGUAUAACGGGGCUUCACCUCAGCUGAACCUGACGCAUCUGGUUCAUCGGCGGCGCAGGACUCGCAGCGGCGGCUCAGUCUGCUGCCUGUGUCCCCGUUGAACCGAGCUGGAUGGCCGGCAUGAGAGAGGCAGCGAGGGGCGGGGGGGCGGAGGAAGGACGACGACAACAACGACAACUACCUCAUUUGUCCCGGCAGCUGCUCUCAACGAGACACCGUGCAGGAAAUACAAAGGAGCUGAAGUUGGACAAGCCUCGGAGGAACUUGAACUUGACAUAUACCGGUCUGCAGAGGACGAAAGAGGACGCGGAGCUGUGACGCCAACAUGCUGCAAACCAGAGAGGAUAUGUGGACAUACUGUGUGCAGCUUCCGAGAGAUCUGGCACAAUGAGCGGCGGAGAUUUCAGCACUUUACUCCAGAUAGCUGAUGGCUGUGGUGUGUGUGCCUGCUCCCUCAAAGACUCAGUGGGCUCGCCCGUCAUUGGAAACCGAAUUUCCGGGUUGGACCCAAUAUUCAGGAGGAGGAAAUCUGAGAGGAGGUGACCUGACCGAGCUCCAGAGGAGGCGAUCAGGUGAAGCACAUGUGAGAGAGGGAGUAUUUUUGAGUUCAUUCACCCCCACCACCCCCCCAAAAAAAGGAAACAUUAUUAGCAAAAAUGCUAUAGGUAACUAGGGGUGAAUUAAAAGAUGUAACUCAAUGUAAUAAUAAUCAUAAUACAGCUAUAAUAUGAAUGAAAGGGGCUCUCACAAAAAGUUACUUUUUAAAAACAGUGAUGGUCAGUGCAAUUUUAUCAUAUGAAAUUGUAUAAGAAUUUCACACACAUAUAUAUGAUAAUCGCUAUGGAAAUGGACACUUAAUGGCUGAUGUGGCGUGUUUGUUUACGUUUUUUUUUUCUCUGAGUUUCUGUUCCCUGCAGGUCGACCAUCGACCGUGUGACACACAAAGCCUCCUGCAGGAGAUAAACUGUCCUUUGGGGUGAGGUAGUAGGUUGUAUAGUUUUAGGGUCAUUCCCAAGCUGUCAGAUGACUAUACAACUUACUGUCUUUCCUGGAGCGACUGUACUGGCAUCAUGGAAGAAGAA